rnacentral:piRNA from 1 species
UGAGAAUAAUGGAAAUAGCCUUGACUUCUC